CGUACACUCCUACGGGAGGCAGCAGUGAGGAAUAUUGGACAAUGGGUGGAAGCCUGAUCCAGCCAUCCCGCGUGCAGGAAGACGGCCCUAUGGGUUGUAAACUGCUUUUAUCUGGGGAUAAACCUACUUACGUGUAAGUAGCUGAAGGUACCAGAAGAAUAAGCACCGGCUAACUCCGUGCCAGCAGCCGCGGUAAUACGGAGGGUGCAAGCGUUAUCCGGAUUUAUUGGGUUUAAAGGGUCCGUAGGCGGACUGAUAAGUCAGUGGUGAAAUCCGACAGCUUAACUGUCGAACUGCCAUUGAUACUGUUAGUCUUGAGUAAGGUUGAAGUGGCUGGAAUAAGUAGUGUAGCGGUGAAAUGCAUAGAUAUUACUUAGAACACCAAUUGCGAAGGCAGGUCACUAAGUCUUAACUGACGCUGAUGGACGAAAGCGUGGGGAGCGAACAGGAUUAGAAACCCGUGUAGUCCCAU
rnacentral:rRNA from 1 species